rnacentral:rRNA from 1 species
CUGCUGCCUUCCGUAGGAGUUUGGGCCGUGUCUCAGUCCCAAUGUGGCCGUUCACCCUCUCAGGCCGGCUACC